CAGAGUAUAACGCAGUCUGGUAGCGUGCUUGCUUUGGGAGCAAGAUGUCAUGUGUUCAAAUCACAUUACUCUGA
rnacentral:tRNA from 1 species